rnacentral:misc_RNA from 1 species
GAUGAAAACGUAGCGAAAUGCGAUAAGUAAUGUGAAUUGCAGAAUUCAGUGAAUCAUCGAAUCUUUGAACGCACAUUGCGCCCGCCAGCAUUCUGGCGGGCAUGCCUGUUCGAGCGUCAUUUCAACCCUCAAGCUCUGCUUGGUGUUGGGGCCCUACGGUUGACGUAGGCCCUUAAAGGUAGUGGCGGACCCUCUCGGAGCCUCCUUUGCGUAGUAACUAACGUCUCGCACUGGGAUUCGGAGGGACUCUUGCCGUAAAACCCCCAAAUUUUUAAAGGUUGACCUCGGAUCAGGUAGGAAUACCCGCUGAACUUAAGCAUAUCAAUAAGCGGAGGA